GUAGUCCACGCCCUAAACGAUGCGCACUAGACCGAUGCGGCUCUGACGUCGUAUUGGUCGUAGAGAAAUUGUAAGUGCGCCGCCUGGGGAGUACGGUCGCAAGGCUAAAACUCAAAGAAAUUGACGGGGGCUCACACAAGCGGUGGAGCAUGUUGCUUAAUUCGAAGCAACGCGAAGAACCUUACCCGGGUUUGACAUACACGGAUUAGUUGGUGGAAACAUCAAUGAGGCCCGCAAGGGUACAACGUGAACAGGUGCUGCAUGGCUGUCGUCAGCUCGUGCUGUGAAGUGUUUGGUUAAGUCCAUUAACGAGCGCAACCCUUGUCGUUAGUUGCUAACAGGUAAUGCUGAGGACUCUAGCGAGACUGCCGGCGUCAAGCCGGA
rnacentral:rRNA from 1 species